UACAAAACAAUUUUAUUUCAACAUUUUCCACAUGGAAUAUUAUACCAAUGAAAUACAAUAAUUUACAAUUCCCAAGAAAACAAUUUCUAGACAAUUCAAUUCCCUAAAAUCCGUUUUCAAUUCAAUUCAAUUCAAUUCAAUCUUUGUAAUCAAACGGACCCUUAGUGUCGUUCACAGUCCCAAACAUUUCAUAAAUUCUCAAUAGAUGUCUAAAUUGAUAGAAACUGUCCAAUUUGACCGUUAAUUGACAAAUAAAAUUGAACUCUGGCCAAUUUAAAAGGGGAAAGGGUAAUUUGCUAUUUAACCAUAUGAAACAAUUAAAAUAAUGUAACUAAAACAAAAUAAAAUGGAAAGGAAAAAAACAGCCACCAUCGACUCACCACCCACCACCAACCAACAGCCACUCAACCACCAUCGACCUUCAACCCCUCAACCACCGACCUACACUGUCAAAGAAUACCCAUAGCAUUGGUGGACACCAUCGUCGAAGAAUAGCCACAGCAAAACGACAGUAAUUUUGAGAAAAAUGGCAACCGAAAUUUUGAGUAAAACGAUAGUAAUUUUGGCUAGAUUUUUUUUUUGGGUCAAAAUUUAGACAAUUUCCGUGCAAAUUUAGAGCAUUUUUGUGUGUGGGUGUACAUGUCUAAAUUAGAGAGCCAGAGAUACACAAUAGAUGGUUCUAGCGGUGGCUCUGUAAGAACAGACCCUCAAAUCUAUCGUCCAACUAUCAGGCAAAUUUAUCAUCCAACUAUCAAGCAACUAGCUCGGCCUUUUGCCGUCUCCUCUAGGUUUCUCUUUAUGGGCGGCCUAAUUGUCCCAUCUGAGCCAUCAACAGAGUACCAACAAAAUCAGCUUCGCAGCAGUGCUGGAGCUCGAUCCUUAUACCUCUUCUAAAAUUGGUUGAUGCUUCUAGUUUGGUGGUGUGGGUCGGUAGUGGCUAUGGGGGAUUAUGGUCGUGAGUGGUGGUAGUGUCGUUUUUGGUUUCGAUGGGGAUGGGAAAGAUGGUGAGUGUAUGUGUUUUCAUUUUUUGAUUUAAUUUUUUAACUUAUUUUAAGUAUAAGAUAGGAAGUUAACCUUUUAAAUUGGUCAAAGUUCAAUUUUAUGGGCCAAUUAACAGUUAGAUUGGUCCGUUUGCGUCCAUUUGGACCUCUUUUGCGAACUUAUGAAAGGUUUGGAACUGUGGUUGGCACAAAGUUAAGAUUAGGAUAAAGUUUGCAAAAAAUUCAAAGGUUUGGGACCGCUACUGCAAUUUUUCCUAAAAGAUUUUAGGAUCCGUUUGAUUGUAAAGAUAGAAUUGAAUUGAAAACGAAUUUCAGAGAAUUGAAUUGUCCAGAAAUUAUUUUCGUGAGAAUUGUAAAUUAUUGUGUUUGAUUGGUAUAAUUUUCCACG
rnacentral:lncRNA from 1 species